rnacentral:rRNA from 1 species
UUGGGAAUAUUGGACAAUGGGCGCAAGCCUGAUCCAGCCAUGCCGCGUGAGUGAAGAAGGCCUUAGGGUUGUAAUACUCUUUCGGCGGGGACGAUGAUGACGGUACCCGCAGAAGAAGCCCCGGCUAACUCCGUGCCAGCAGCCGCGGUAAUACGGAGGGGGCUAGCGUUGCUCGGAAUUACUGGGCGUAAAGGGCGUGUAGGCGGGACACCAAGUGAGGCGUGAAAGCCCCGGGCUUAACCCGGCAACUGCGUUUCAUACUCUUGACCUAGAGUCCGGGAGAGGGUGGUGGAAUUCCCAGUGUAGAGGUGAAAUUCGUAGAUAUUGGGAAGAACACCAGUGGCGAAGGCGGCCACCUGGACCGGUACUGACGCUGAGGCGCGAAAGCGUGGGGAGCAAACAGGAUUAGAUACCCCCGUAGUCC